UUUUAGAGAUAGAGAGUGGUAGGAGAGAGAAAUAAGGGCAGAAAUGAGGUGGAAACUUCGAAGGCUUGUAAAUCAUGCCAAUUGAAGCAACAUCUCGUCGUUCUCUCCUAUGUCUUACUCAACUCCAACUCCAACACAACCUCCACAAAUGAAUGUUGAUAGUCCAAGAUGAAUAGUAAAUGUUCAUCGGAUGAGGCUCAAUAUAAGACAAAUGGAAAUGAAGAUGAGAGUUCUACAAAUCAUGCAUGUUGUUAAUCCAUUAGCAGGAAUGGAUCAUGAGUGAGUACCCCCAUUAGCAGGAAGAUGAGACAACAAGAAAGGCACAUGAUCUGAAGAUUGGUAUUGUUGUAUUCUCCCAAAGAGAAACUGAAUCCCUCAAUGAAUCAAGGGAGCGUAACAAACCUAUGCUGAGAAAAUGCCCUAACCAUGGUUUUUAUGAUAACACUCAAAUUCAUAUAUUCAAGAAUGACUUACAAUAGCAACAUAAUUUAUUGCUAGAUGCAAUAGCAGAUGAGGUUCUUUGAUGUCUUAAAACCAAAGGAGCGGUGUUUUUUAGACUUAAAUUAGAAUAAACAAAAAUUUCAAAAACACUCAAAUAGUC
rnacentral:lncRNA from 1 species